rnacentral:rRNA from 1 species
AGUCAAGUAAUUAAGUGCAUGUGGUGGAUGCCUUGGCAGUCAGAGGCGAUGAAAGACGUGAUAGCCUGCGAAAAGCUCCGGGGAGGCGGCAAAUAUCCUUUGAUCCGGAGAUGUCUGAAUGGGGGAACCCACCUACUUUAAGGUAGGUAUUGCAACAUGAAUACAUAGUGUUGCAAGGCGAACGAGGGGAAGUGAAACAUCUCAGUACCCUUAGGAAAAGAAAUCAAUUGAGAUUCCCUCAGUAGCGGCGAGCGAACGGGGAUCAGCCCAUUAAGUUAUGUGUGUUUUAGUGGAACGCUCUGGGAAGUGCGAACGUAGAGGGUGAUAUUCCCGUACACGAAAGGGCACACAUAAUGAUGACGAGUAGGGCGAGGCACGUGAAACCUUGUCUGAAUAUGGGGGGACCAUCCUCCAAGGCUAAAUACUCCUGACUGACCGAUAGUGAACCAGUACCGUGAGGGAAAGGCGAAUAGAACCCCUGUGAGGGGAGUGAAAUAGAUCCUGAAACCGCAUGCAUACAAGCAGUGGGAGCACCUUCGUGGUGUGACUGCGUACCUUUUGUAUAAUGGGUCAGCGACUUAUAUUCAGUAGCAAGGUUAACCGUAUAGGGGAGCCGUAGAGAAAUCGAGUCUUAAUAGGGCGUUUAGUUGCUGGGUAUAGACCCGAAACCAGGCGAUCUAUCCAUGAGCAGGUUGAAGGUUGGG